CAAAUUGCUAUCGUAAGCUACGGUGAAGAGAAGCCUCUACUACUAGGCCAGACUGAAGAAGUCUACGCGAAAAACCGUCGCGCAGUUCUAGUAUACUAAUUGAGGAAUUGCCUCAUGUUCAGUAACACUAA
rnacentral:sRNA from 1 species